UACGAAGGUGGCAAGCGUUGUCCGGAUUUAUUGGGUUUAAAGGGUGCGUAGGCGGCCCUGUAAGUCAGUGCUGAAAUAUCCCGGCUUAACCGGGAGGGUGGCAUUGAUACUGUAGGGCUUGAGUAAAGUUGAGGUUGGCGGAAUUGACGGUGUAGCGGUGAAAUGCUUAGAUAUCGUCAAGAACACCGAUAGUGAAGACAGCUAACUAAGCUUUAACUGACGCUGAGGCACGAAAGUGUGGGGAUCAAACAGG
rnacentral:rRNA from 1 species